rnacentral:rRNA from 1 species
UACGGAGGGUGCAAGCGUUAAUCGGAAUUACUGGGCGUAAAGCGUGAGCAGGCGGUUUUGUAAGUCUGACGUGAAAUCCCCGGGCUCAACCUGGGAAUUGCGUUGGAGACUGCAAGGCUAGAAUCUGGCAGAGGGGGGUAGAAUUCCACGUGUAGCAGUGAAAUGCGUAGAGAUGUGGAGGAACACCGAUGGCGAAGGCAGCCCCCUGGGUCAAGAUUGACGCUCAUGCACGAAAGCGUGGGGAGCAAACAGG